rnacentral:rRNA from 1 species
UACAGAGGGUGCGAGCGUUGUCCGGAAUCACUGGGCGUAAAGGGCGCGUAGGCGGCGCGACAAGUCAGUGGUGAAAGUUCGACGCUUAACGUCGAAUCGGCCACUGAUACUGUUGGGCUUGGGCACUGUAGAGGCUAAUGGAAUUCCGGGUGUAGCGGUGGAAUGCGUAGAGAUCCGGAAGAACACCGGUGGCGAAGGCGGUUAGCUGGGCAGUUGCUGACACUGAGGCGCGACAGCGUGGGGAGCAAACAGG